AGUAUCGGUAUUUUAUCGAAUUAUCGUUUCGAAUUCAUUUUGGAACAAAAUACAACACUGUUAGCUCUCGCAGAGCGAGAAAAAUAUAUAAGCUACGAAUGAACACGAUAAGCAAAUGAAUGGCAGAAAAGAAAAACAUUUUUUUAGUAAAAAAGAAGUAAACGAGUGAUUAUUGAAUGAAGAGUGGUGAAUAGGCAUGUAAUCUGUAUUAUUAACAAAUUAAAAGUAAUUUGUGGCGGAAUUGAUUACAAAGAUUGAUUGUGAAGAAUUAUAAGAUAAAACAGAAAUAUUUCCUUUAAAAGAUAAGAUACUCGUAAAUGUAAGAAUACCCAGAAUUUGCGGAGUAUUAUUGAGUGCCACAGAUUUUAAAUCAAUUAAAAGAAAAACAUAAUUGCAGUUAAGUGCUCCAUAAAUUGCACCUUUGUCCGGGUAGAGUUCAGUUUAAGAGAGUGGAAAACAUUCCACAACUGCUGAAGGUUAACAGGCACCAAUUGUACUACUAAAUCGCAGUUGCAACGAAUUCAGUGGUAUAUAAUCAAACCUUGAAAGAAAGUACGUGGUCCACAAAAUAUACACAGCCAUUGGCCAGAUUUAGAGUGCUACAAAACUUAAGCAAGGAAAUAUACGGAAAAGGAAUUAAGACUCAAUACUUUCAAAUUUAAUUAUGACCACAAUAAAUAUAAAUUCACGAAAAAGUCCAAUGCUAAAAAAGCAGGGCACGGACCAAUGGGUGAAGCUUAAUGUGGGUGGCACAUAUUUCCUUACAACAAAGACUACGCUAUCCCGUGACCCAAAUUCGUUUCUUUCGCGUCUAAUACAAGAAGAUUGUGAUUUAAUAUCAGAUCGGGAUGAAACAGGUGCUUACUUGAUUGAUAGAGACCCAAAAUACUUUGCGCCUGUGUUGAACUACUUGCGACAUGGUAAACUCGUUUUAGACGGUGUGUCCGAGGAAGGCGUUCUAGAGGAAGCCGAAUUUUAUAAUGUCACACAACUCAUAACAUUAUUGAAGGAGUGUAUAAAUCAUAGAGAUCAGCGACCACAAGCCGAUAAAAAGCGUGUAUAUCGUGUAUUGCAGUGUCGUGAACAAGAGUUAACACAGAUGAUCUCAACAUUAUCGGAUGGUUGGCGUUUUGAGCAAUUAAUUAGUGUGGGAAUGCAAUAUACGAAUUAUGGACCAUUCGAAAAUAAUGAAUUUUUAUGCGUAGUCUCAAAAGAAUGUGGCACAACGUCAGGUCGUGAAUUGGAACUGAACGAUCGUGCCAAAGUGCUACAGCAGAAAGGAUCUAGAAUGUAAGAAUUUGUGUAUUCAAACUAAUAAUUCAUCACUGCAGUCGUAUAUAUAUGUAUUUAUUAAGUAAACAAUUUUUUUUUAUAUAUAGUACAUACAUAAAUACAUACAUGUUAUGUGUGUAGUAUUGGGUAGUCGAUAAAACAAGAUUAUUAAAUGCAAAACUUAUAUAGGAAACUUUUCGUGCGUGGAAGAUAAUACUUUCAAUCGUAUAUUUUAGUGAAUAGCGCGAAUUUGUAUUUACCGUUAUAAUGACGGGUAGUAGUAAGUGAUUACUGCGCAAAAGCAGUUAUAUGCUGCUUAUAAAGUAGAUUGCCACUUCAUUACUCUCUUAUAUAGUUUCUUAAGUUAAUUUUUCACUAACAGAGUCACUACAUUGGGUUAUGUGUUUGUUUUUUCCUUUUUUGUAUUAAUUCUUACACAAGUAAUUAACUUUUGUCAUUAAUCAUUAUCAUUUAAAAUUUAAAAAUCGUAUGCUGGUUGAAAAGACAAAUAUAGGUUAUGUUUUCCCACAUUGACAUAAUUAAAUGUAUAAGAUAAAAUAGAUAAUUUAUCUUGUUUGUAGCACUGAAAAUGUAGCCUUAGCACCCCGUUGCAAUCAUCGCUUUUGAUAUUCGAAAAAUGUGGACUGAAAAACUUUAAACUCAAUACGCAGCAAAAAUAAUUAAAUUCUGAAUACUAUUAAUGCCACCAAAAUUAGUUCCCCACCGAAAAUGUGGUGAAAAAUUCUUUGUUGGAUCAACUGGAAAUAAUUAGAAAUUAUUCAGAGCGCGUUUUAAAAUGUGAAUGCGUUAGGUGGGCUAUUAUUAAUAAGUAGGGAAUUUGUGAACAUUUUUUUGUUACAAAUCAAAUCAAAUUAAAAAGUUACAGAUACACAUACUUUUUUUUGCAUAUUUCAAGUAAAAUAAGAGAAUCAAAGUUAUUAAGAUAACCAGAAAUUCUCUAAAAAUUUCUAAUAAAAGUAACAUAUGGCAUUUAGGCCGCCGUGUUUGCCACUUUAGCCCUUAUUUUGACUAAUGUAAUAAAUGAAUAAAUGAUUGUACCGCGGGGGAGCUAGUGAAUGUAGUACGCACAAAAAUCCAAGUAAAUGCCUCGUUUACGAACAUUUUUGUCUUAUACAAGUUAUUAAAAAAACUAUUGCAAAAAAAAAAAAACAAAAUAUAAUAACAAAUAAAAUAAAACCAAUAGAGAUAUACUCUUGCUAUAAUAAGUUAGGUCAUGUCCACAUGAAAAUAUUCAAUAAUCUCUAUAACAAAUUAAUAUAUUCAAAUAGUAAUAUGUAUGUAUAUUUAAGGCAAUAAUGAUAGUUUCUGUUGCAUAAGAUACAUAAUUACGAAGCCAAGCGCAAUUAUGCAAGUGUACAGCGUACUUAUUGUAGCGUAUAUAUAAGUAUAUACAUAUAUUUAUAUGCAAUAACUUUAUAUGUAACUAGUAUACGUUGUUAAAUCUGGCAACCAGCAGCUUUUAUCCACAUAUACGCGCGAUGAAAAUCCUGAAAACCGCUUUAAACACUAAAAAUAUUUAUAUUUGAGAACACACUUAGCAAGAUUUUUAUAGCAAAAUGUGAAAGCAUUAUUUUUCGAUUAGCAACUUCAAAAUAAUUUUCAAAAAAGCAAUAAUUUGAAGACUAAAUUUACGUACAUACAUAUAUUUGUGUAUAUAUAUAUUGUAUGUUGUAUAUUUUAUAUAUGUAUAGUUAUAACUAUAACUAUAGUUGUGUGAGCGAUUUAUAGCUUUUUGUAUGUGUAUGUGUGUGUAUGUCUGAGUGCAUGUGUGCGCAGUAUUAGAACUCACCGCUUUUUAGUUUGAAAAACGUUAAUGUUUACAGCUUUACAAUGAA